rnacentral:rRNA from 1 species
GUGGGGAAUCUUGCGCAAUGGGCGAAAGCCUGACGCAGCCAUGCCGCGUGAAUGAUGAAGGUCUUAGGAUUGUAAAAUUCUUUCACCGGGGACGAUAAUGACGGUACCCGGAAAAGAAGCUCCGGCUAACUUCGUGCCAGCAGCCGCGGUAAUACGAAGGGGGCUAGCGUUGCUCGGAAUUACUGGGCGUAAAGGGCGCGUAGGCGGACAGCUUAGUCAGAGGUGAAAGCCCAGGGCUCAACCUUGGAAUUGCCUUUGAUACUGGCUGUCUUGAGUUUGGGAGAGGUGAGUGGAACUCCGAGUGUAGAGGUGAAAUUCGUAGAUAUUCGGAAGAACACCAGUGGCGAAGGCGACUCACUGGCCCAAUACUGACGCUGAGGCGCGAAAGCGUGGGGAGCAAACAGGAUUAGAUACCCCUGUAGUCC